rnacentral:rRNA from 1 species
UAACGCGUGAGCAACCUGCAUAUGACAGUGGGAUAGCCUCGGAAACCGGGAUUGAUACCGCAUAAAAUCGUAGAAACACAUGUUUUAACGGUCAAAGAUUUAUCGGUCAUAGAUGGGCUCGCGUCUGAUUAGCUAGUUGGUGAGAUAACAGCCCACCAAGGCGACGAUCAGUAGCCGGUCUGAGAGGAUGAACGGCCACAUUGGAACUGAGACACGGUCCAA